UGCAGAGGGGGCAAGCGUUGUUCGGAUUUACUGGGCGUACAGGGCGCGUAGGCGGUUGGAUAAGCCCUCCGUGAAAUCUCCAGGCUUAACCUGGAAAGUGCAGAGGGGACUGUUCAGCUAGAGGAUGGGAGAGGAGCGCGGAAUUCCCGGUGUAGCGGUGAAAUGCGUAGAGAUCGGGAGGAAGGCCGGUGGCGAAGGCGGCGCUCUGGAACAUUUCUGACGCUGAGGCUCGAAAGCGUGGGGAGCAAACAGG
rnacentral:rRNA from 1 species